GCCCCGUUCGUCUAGCGGCCUAGGACACCGCCCUCUCACGGCGGCAACACCGGUUCAAAUCCGGUACGGGGUA
rnacentral:tRNA from 1 species